rnacentral:rRNA from 1 species
ACGAAGGGGGCUAGCGUUGCUCGGAAUCACUGGGCGUAAAGCGCACGUAGGCGGAUCGUUAAGUCAGGGGUGAAAUCCUGGAGCUCAACUCCAGAACUGCCUUUGAUACUGGCGACCUUGAGUUCGGGAGAGGUGAGUGGAACUGCGAGUGUAGCGGUGAAAUUCGUAGAUAUCGGGAGGAACACCCGUGGCGAAGGCGGCUCUCUGGACCAUAACUGACACUGAGGCACGAAAGCCGGGGGAGCAAACAGGA